AGAACAAACGCUGGCGGCAUGCCUAACACAUGCAAGUCGAACGCACCGCAAGGUGAGUGGCGCACGGGUGAGUAACGCGUGGGAACCUGCCCUGGAGUGGGGGAUAACUGAGGGAAACUUCGGCUAAUACCGCAUACGACCUGAGGGUGAAAGAUUUAUCGCUCUAGGGGGGGCCCGCGUCGGAUUAGCUAGUUGGUGAGGUAACGGCUCACCAAGGCGAUGAUCCGUAGCUGGUCUGAGAGGAUGACCAGCCACACUGGGACUGAGACACGGCCCAGACUCCUACGGGAGGCAGCAGUGGGGAAUAUUGGACAAUGGGGGCAACCCUGAUCCAGCAAUGCCGCGUGAGUGAUGAAGGCCUUAGGGUUGUAAAGCUCUUUCGGCGGGGACGAUGAUGACGGUACCCGCAGAAGAGCCCCGGCUAACUUCGUGCCAGCAGCCGC
rnacentral:rRNA from 1 species